AACACCCUGGCUCCCCUUUUAUUUAUUUAUUUUUUUGUAUUGGAGCUGUGGUUUGAAAUAAUGUAAACAACAUGGCAGGUUUAGCUGGACUUCGAGUUGGAUAUGGAGCAUUUCCUUUGAGCAUCAUUGAGUACCUUUGGAGAGCUAAGCAACCUUAUAAUGUUUCUGUUGCUGCUGAAGUUUCUGCAUGUGCAGCAUUGCAGAAUCCCACGUACCUGGAGAAGGUGAAAAAUGCAUUGUUACAAGAGCGGGAUAGGCUUUACAAGCUUUUGUCAGACGUGCCAUUUCUCAAUCCAUUUCCAAGCUAUUCUAAUUUCAUUCUUUGCGAGGUUAAAUCUGGAAGAGAUGCUAAGAAGCUUAAGGUGCAUAUAUUUUCCUGCAUUGAUGCUGAAAUAUCAUUUCUUUUUUGUUGCUACUUAGAGAAACUUGGAACUCUUUAACUACCUUAGUAAAUAUAAUUGUUGAUUAUAGACUUGUGAAAAUUUUAUGGUGAAAAAUUGAGUGUACUGUAGGAUGAUCUUGCAAGUUUGGGUAUAAUGGUUCGACACUACAACAACAAAGAACUGAAGGGUUAUAUUCGCGUAUCGGUUGGGAAGCCUGAACAAACAGAUGCCUUGAUGCAAGGCCUCAAGAGGAUUUCAUGAUUCAUUUCCUAUUCUAGGUUCCAACCUUUGACCUCACAGAACAUUGCACAAGGCGGAGUCUUAAAUCCUGAAUCUCAAUGUGAAUGAUUAGAGGUGAAGAAUGGGAUGAGUUGGAAUUGAUUUCGGGUUAUUUCGGGUGUCUGAUUAUUUUGAAUUUCAUUAUUUUUUUGAAUGGUUUUGAAUCGAGUCAUUUCGGAUUGCAGGUUGAUUUAAGUUAUAUAAAUGUGAUUGAAUUGUCAUUAAGUGAAGCAAAUCCUAAUUUUGUUUAUUUAUCAUAUUUGUGGAAUGGACUACAAGUAUGUAUAUCAG
rnacentral:misc_RNA from 1 species